rnacentral:lncRNA from 1 species
AUGUUGGUUAUAAGUAGUUGGCUAUCUUUUUCAGUCAUCUACAUUCACAUGCACACUUAAAUCCUGUCACCAUCAUAACCAUUAACAUUAUCAUCGCAAUACAAUUAUCAUAUAUAAGCUGUACCAUUUGCUUUGCAUCACUUGAAUCUAAACAGUCCCCACUUGAACUACGGAAGAGGCAAGAGGAAAGUCUCUCCAUGGUGAGCUUAAUGACCGUAGCCCAAUUACUAAUAGGCCAAGUUACUAUAAUAGCCCAUUGAGUUUGCUCGGCCUCAUUACCUUGAUCAAUUUCAGCUUCAAACCUCACGUCACGCUCGGAUUCCUCCCGGUAAUCUCGAACCUUUCUCACCCGGGAUUAAAUGUUUUUUUUGACAAUUUAUAUUCGGAUGAUUGCUUUAUGUUUCGAUAAAUAAUAAUUGAUAUUUUAGUUAUGAAAGAAUAUUUGCUUAAUACGUGUGUUAAAGUCUUGAAUAU